UGCCAGCCGCCGCGGUAAUACGAAGGGUGCUAGCGUUGUUCGGAAUUACUGGGCGUAAAGAGCAUGUAGGCGGAUGAAUUAGUCAGAGGUGAAAGCCCCGAGCUCAACUUGGGAACUGCCUUUGAAACUACAAGACUAGAAUAGGUCAGAGGGGGGUAGAAUUCCACGUGUAGCAGUGAAAUGCGUAGAGAUGUGGAGGAAUACCAAUGGCGAAGGCAGCCCCCUGGGAUCAUAUUGACGCUCAUGCACGAAAGCGUGGGGAGCGAACAGGAUUAGAUA
rnacentral:rRNA from 1 species